rnacentral:rRNA from 1 species
CCUGAGAAACCCAAAAGAUCGAAUGGGGAGAUUCAUCGUCAGCUCAUUUUGUAUAUGUAUAAGUUAUGAUGCGGGUUACUACUUGUAGUAUUGCCUGCACGUUCUUGUAUAUUUAGUUGCAAGAUGUUGUCGGCGUGCACUUCUUCCCUAGUAGGACGUCGCGACCCGUUGAAUGUCGGUCUACGGCCCAAGUGAUAGCCUUUAAUGUAAUUUCAAAAUCAUUGAAGAUCCUUGGUGUUUUCUGACCGGCUAUUCGGCGGUACUCGUACGGUAUUUAGCCGCUAAUUUAUUAGCGUCCAUGUCCGUCACAAGCGAGGCUAAUUUACUGAUAGUGCGGACCUAGUGCCGUCGUUGGUAUUGGCCAGCUGUUGGUUGUACGUGAUUCUGGGACUGGCUAAAAUUAAUUACCGGUCGGCGAUGCUACUGCUUUGGGUACUUUCAGG